rnacentral:rRNA from 1 species
ACUCCUGCGGGAGGCAGCAGUGAGGAAUAUUGGACAAUGGGUGGAAGCCUGAUCCAGCCAUCCCGCGUGCAGGAAGACGGCCCUAUGGGUUGUAAACUGCUUUUAUCUGGGGAUAAACCUACUUACGUGUAAGUAGCUGAAGGUACCAGACGAAUAAGCACCGGCUAACUCCGUGCCAGCAGCCGCGGUAAUACGGAGGGUGCAAGCGUUAUCCGGAUUUAUUGGGUUUAAAGGGUCCGUAGGCGGACUGAUAAGUCAGUGGUGAAAUCCGACAGCUUAACUGUCGAACUGCCAUUGAUACUGUUAGUCUUGAGUAAGGUUGAAGUGGCUGGAAUAAGUAGUGUAGCGGUGAAAUGCAUAGAUAUUACUUAGAACACCAAUUGCGAAGGCAGGUCACUAAGUCUUAACUGACGCUGAUGGACGAAAGCGUGGGGAGCGAACAGGAUUAGAAACCCGGGUAGUCCCA